UACGUAAGGGGCAAGCGUUGUCCGGAAUCAUUGGGCGUAAAGAGCGUGUAGGCGGCCCGAUAAGUCCGCCGUGAAAGUCCAGGGCUCAACCCUGGAAUGCCGGUGGAAACUGUCGGGCUGGAGUCCGGAAGAGGCGAGUGGAAUUCCUGGUGUAGCGGUGAAAUGCGCAGAUAUCAGGAGGAACACCAAUGGCGAAGGCAGCUCGCUGGGACGGUACUGACGCUGAGACGCGAAAGCGUGGGGAGCAAACAGG
rnacentral:rRNA from 1 species